rnacentral:rRNA from 1 species
GAUGAACGCUGGCGGCGUGCCUAAUACAUGCAAGUCGAGCGGACAGACGAGGAGCUUGCUCCUCUGACGUUAGCGGCGGACGGGUGAGUAACACGUGGAUAACCUACCUAUAAGACUGGGAUAACUUCGGGAAACCGUAGCUAAUACCGGAUAACAUGUUGAACCGCAUGGUUCAACAGUGAAGAACGGUUUUGCUGUAACUUCUCGAUGGAUCCCCGUCGCAUUAGCUAGUUGGUAAGGUAACGGCUUACCAAGGCAACGAUGCGUAGGCGACCUGAGAGGGGGAUAGGCCACACUGGAAGGGAGACACGGUCCAGACGCCUACGGGAGGCAGCAGAAGGGAAUCUGCCGCAAUGGGCGAAAGCCUGACGGAGCAACGCAGCGUGAGUGAAGAAGGUGUUCGGAUCGUAAAACUCUGUUAUUAGGGAAGAACAAAUGUGUAAGUAACUAUGCACGUCUUGACGGUACCUAAACAGAAAGCCACGGCUAACUACGUG